rnacentral:rRNA from 1 species
CCGGAGCUAACGCGUUAAGUCGACCGCCUGGGGAGUACGGCCGCAAGGUUAAAACUCAAAUGAAUUGACGGGGGCCCGCACAAGCGGUGGAGCAUGUGGUUUAAUUCGAUGCAACGCGAAGAACCUUACCUGGUCUUGACAUCCACGGAAGUUUUCAGAGAUGAGAAUGUGCCUUCGGGAACCGUGAGACAGGUGCUGCAUGGCUGUCGUCAGCUCGUGUUGUGAAAUGUUGGGUUAAGUCCCGCAACGAGCGCAACCCUUAUCCUUUGUUGCCAGCGGUCCGGCCGGGAACUCAAAGGAGACUGCCAGUGAUAAACUGGAGGAAGGUGGGGAUGACGUCAAGUCAUCAUGGCCCUUACGACCAGGGCUACACACGUGCUACAAUGGCGCAUACAAAGAGAAGCGACCUCGCGAGAGCAAGCGGACCUCAUAAAGUGCGUCGUAGUCCGGAUUGGAGUCUGCAACUCGACUCCAUGAAGUCGGAAUCGCUAGUAAUCGUGGAUCAGAAUGCCACGGUGAAUACGUUCCCGGGCCUUGUACACACCGCCCGUCACACCAUGGGAGUGGGUUGCAAAAGAAGUAGGUAGCUUAACCUUCGGGAGGGCGCUUACCACUUUGUGAUUCAUGACUGGGGUGAAGUCGUAACAAGGUAACCGUAGGGGAACCUGCGGUUGGAUCAC